GUCUCCGUAGCUUAUCAACUAAAGCAUGGCACUGAAGAUGCCAAGAUGGCUGCCGCAUGCACCCGAAGACA
rnacentral:tRNA from 4 species